rnacentral:rRNA from 1 species
UUGACGGGGGCCCGCACAAGCGGUGGAGCAUGUGGUUUAAUUCGAUGCAACGCGAAGAACCUUACCUGGUCUUGACAUCCACGGAAGUUUUCAGAGAUGAGAAUGUGCCUUCGGGAACCGUGAGACAGGUGCUGCAUGGCUGUCGUCAGCUCGUGUUGUGAAAUGUUGGGUUAAGUCCCGCAACGAGCGCAACCCUUAUCCUUUGUUGCCAGCGGUCCGGCCGGGAACUCAAAGGAGACUGCCAGUGAUAAACUGGAGGAAGGUGGGGAUGACGUCAAGUCAUCAUGGCCCUUACGACCAGGGCUACACACGUGCUACAAUGGCGCAUACAAAGAGAAGCGACCUCGCGAGAGCAAGCGGACCUCAUAAAGUGCGUCGUAGUCCGGAUUGGAGUCUGCAACUCGACUCCAUGAAGUCGGAAUCGCUAGUAAUCGUGGAUCAGAAUGCCACGGUGAAUACGUUCCCGGGCCUUGUACACACCGCCCGUCACACCAUGGGAGUGGGUUGCAAAAGAAGUAGGUAGCUUAACCUUCGGGAGGGCGCUUACCACUUUGUGAUUC